rnacentral:tRNA from 1 species
AUUUAAAUAGCUUAAGAAGAGCAUACCAUUGAAGCUGGUAAGGUAAUUUUCAUAUUUUUAAAUA